GNAGAAUGCCCUAUGGGUAGUAAACUGCUUUUAUACAGGAAGAAAAAGAGCUACGUGUAGCUUACUGACGGUACUGUAAGAAUAAGGACCGGCUAACUCCGUGCCAGCAGCCGCGGUAAUACGGAGGGUCCGAGCGUUAUCCGGAAUUAUUGGGUUUAAAGGGUCCGUAGGCGGGCCGAUAAGUCAGGGGUGAAAGUUUGCAGCUCAACUGUAAAAUUGCCUUUGAUACUGUUGGUCUUGAGUUAUAGUGAAGUUGCCGGAAUAUGUAGUGUAGCGGUGAAAUGCAUAGAUAUUACAUAGAACACCGAUUGCGAAGGCAGGUGACUAACUAUAUACUGACGCUGAUGGACGAAAGCGUGGGGAGCGAACAGGAUUAGAUACCCUGGUAGUCCACUGCUGCCUCCCGUAGGA
rnacentral:rRNA from 1 species